rnacentral:tRNA from 1 species
AAAAAGGUAAGCUAAGUAAGCUAGCGGGUUCAUACCCCGCUUAUGAAGGUCAUAGUCCUUUCCUUUUUA